CGGAGGGUGCAAGCGUUAUCCGGAAUCAUUGGGUUUAAAGGGUCCGCAGGCGGGCUUAUAAGUCAGUGGUGAAAGCCUACAGCUUAACUGUAGAACUGCCAUUGAUACUGUAAGUCUUGAAUGUGGUCGAAGUGGGCGGAAUAUGACAUGUAGCGGUGAAAUGCAUAGAUAUGUCAUAGAACACCGAUAGCGAAGGCAGCUCACUAGGCCAUUAUUGACGCUCAUGGACGAAAGCGUGGGGAGCAAACAGGAUU
rnacentral:rRNA from 1 species